CACGGUUUGUGCGUCAGCCAUGUACAAAAGUUAGGAAGUGCAUUAUUAGGUUUAUUGGAUAGGAAAUUAGUACGGAAUUUGGAAAAGGAUCAGAUAAAUUUUAUUAUAAACUUCGUGCUAUCCGAACAGUCUGUAUCGAUAAUGGAACCUUCCGUUUCCAUUCCAGACGCAUUGAUUGUGACUACAUGAGACACCUGGAGGGAUGUCCCUCCAGGGUCUUCGGGCUCCAUCAUGGACGACAAGAGAAAAAUUCUUAUCUACAUAUAAUAAAAUAAAAUAACUUACCAGGCUAUUAAGACAAACUAAAAAUAUAAAUAAUCAACAAUAACUACUACUAUAUACACCUUAUAACUUAACUGAUCCUGUAUUAUUAUAUUAAUUUAAUUUUCAAAAGUUAAGCCAAAAAAAAGACGCCCGCCUAUUUUUACACUUCCCGCGCUUUUCUAUUAGUCCUUUUCAUGAGAAUUUGGAAGUCCCGCGGUGAUUUUUGGAACUAAUUUUGACAGGUCGGCGGUGUUGUCAUUCGGCGAUGUUAUCAAGUUCGUUUGUUGUAGUAGAUUUUUGUGAGUUUUAAAGAUUUUUUAGAAUGCCAAAAGUUCUAAAAAGUUUGGCUCGAGAAAUUAUGUUGAAGGUGAAAGAGUUCUGUGAAGCGGAAUAAAAAAUCCAGAUGUUUCAAAAAAUCCAUAACAGGUGUGUCAGAGACUACUUUAACAAGAAAUACUAAAGAAGGUAUAACAUGGAUGAAGAGAUGGACCGAAUAAUUAUAUCUACGGCUAGUGAUACUGAAACAGAAUCGGAUUCUGUUUCCAUCCACUCUUCAGACGGCGAUGUUCCUAUGGCUGCUGAUCACAAUCAUUCAAUAAAA